UACGGGGGGUCCUAGCGUUGUUCGGAAUCACUGGGCGUAAAGCGUAUGUAGGCGGGCUUUUAAGUCAGGUGUGAAAUCCCAUGGCUCAACCAUGGAAUUGCAUUUGAAACUGGAAGUCUUGAGUGUGGGAGAGAUUGGUAGAAUACCUGGUGUAGUGGUGAAAUACGUAGAUAUCAGGUGGAAUACCGGCGGCGAAGGCGGCCAAUUGGCCCAACACUGACGCUGAGAUACGAAGGCUAGGGGAGCGACCCGG
rnacentral:rRNA from 1 species